AUUAAGAUUUAGCUAGAUUCAGUUAAUAUAGUCAAAGAAAUAGUUAACUAAAAAUAGCCCAUAAUGUACUCACCUUAAUGCCAUUCUAGAUGUAUAUGACUCUUUCCUCAGGUGAAUACAUCAUCAUCAUCAUCAUCAGAAAAAGCAAUCCAUUUGACUUUAGUGGGGUUAAUAGAUGUCCUCUAAAGUCAAACAAUACAUUUGUGAGAGAAAUUGUAUUUUGAGCGUAUUUAGUGUUCAAAAAUGUUAACACAUCUAAAUGGCAGCACAAUGGCUCCAUGUCAGCUUGUAAGAUGAUGAUCAUUGGUUCCUGUGUGACUUAUGACUGCGUUCAUGAGACCAAUUUUAAAUUUACAUUUAAACAUGUUUUUAUACCAUACAACAUUUUCAUGGUACUUUAAGGUAGCCUAUGUAAACAAUAAAAUACAAUGACAUAAAAAAACACUUUUACCACAGUACUAUGUUCUUAUGGUAAUACCAGGGCAUUAUUUGGCACUUGUUUGUAAAGUCUACUGACUGAUGUUCUGUAAAUGCUCUGUAAAUCUGUUGUUUGUUGUGUGGUAAUAAUGGCAGGUCAUGAAUG